rnacentral:rRNA from 1 species
GAUGAACGCUGGCGGCGUGCCUAAUACAUGCAAGUCGAGCGAACAGACGAGGAGCUUGCUCCUCUGACGUUAGCGGCGGACGGGUGAGUAACACGUGGAUAACCUACCUAUAAGACUGGGAUAACUUCGGGAAACCGGAGCUAAUACCGGAUAAUAUAUUGAACCGCAUGGUUCAAUAGUGAAAGACGGUUUUGCUGUCACUUAUAGAUGGAUCCGCGCCGCAUUAGCUAGUUGGUACGGUAACGGCUUACCAAGGCGACGAUGCGUAGCCGACCUGAGAGGGUGAUCAGCCACACUGGAACUGAGACACGGUCCAGACUCCUACGGGAGGCAGCAGUAGGGAAUCUUCCGCAAUGGGCGAAAGCCUGACGGAGCAACGCCGCGUGAGUGAUGAAGGUCUUCGGAUCGUAAAACUCUGUUAUUAGGGAAGAACAAAUGUGUAAGUAACUAUGCACGUCUUGACGGUACCUAAUCAGAAAGCCACGGCUAACUACGUG